GCGAUCAUGCCUGCACUAAUGCACCGGAUCCCAUUAGAACUCCGAAGUUAAGCGUGCUUCGACGAGAGCAGUACUAGGAUGGGUGACCCCCUGGAAUGUCCUCGUGUUGCACCU
rnacentral:rRNA from 1 species